GCAGUAGCCACGGGAAUACAGAGGGUGCGAGCGUUAAUCGGAUUUACUGGGCGUAAAGCGUGCGUAGGCGGCUUCUUAAGUCGGAUGUGAAAUCCCUGAGCUUAACUUAGGAAUUGCAUUCGAUACUGGGAAGCUAGAGUAUGGGAGAGGAUGGUAGAAUUCCAGGUGUAGCGGUGAAAUGCGUAGAGAUCUGGAGGAAUACCGGUGGCGAAGGCGGCCCCCUGGACAAAGACUGACGCUCAGGUGCGAAAGCGUGGGGAGCAAACAGGAUUAGAUACCCCGGUAGUCCCUGUCUCUUAUAC
rnacentral:rRNA from 1 species